GAAAAAAAAAAAAAAAAAAAAAAAAAAAAAAAAAAAAAAAAA
rnacentral:ribozyme from 13 species